rnacentral:rRNA from 1 species
UACGUAGGGCGCAAGCGUUGUCCGGAAUUAUUGGGCGUAAAGAGCUCGUAGGCGGCUUGUCGCGUCGGAUGUGAAAGCUCGGGGCUUAACCCCGGGCCUGCAGUCGAUACGGGCAGACUAGAGUGCGGUAGGGGAGACUGGAAUUCCUGGUGUAGCGGUGAAAUGCGCAGAUAUCAGGAGGAACACCGGUGGCGAAGGCGGGUCUCUGGGCCGUAACUGACGCUGAGGAGCGAAAGCGUGGGGAGCGAACAGG